UUCUGUAUACGGCUCCCGACCUGGAAUGGUGGGAGCCCGAAACGUUCCGGCGCCGGAGGAUGAGGCUGCGCCCGAUUAGGUUGACGGUGGGGUAAUGGCCCACCGUGCCGAUAAUCGUUCUGGGUCAUGAGAGUGAGAACCCAGAGACGGACUCUGAGACAAGAUUCCGGGCCCUACGGGGCGCAGCAGGCGCGAAACCUUUACACUGCACGCCAGUGCGAUAAGGGGACCCCAAGUGCGCAGGCAUAGUGCCUGCGCUUUUCUGGACUGUAGGGCGGUCCAGGAACAAGGGCUGGGCAAGACCGGUGCCAGCCGCCGCGGUAAUACCGGCAGCCCAAGUGAUGGCCGCUGUUAUUGGGCCUAAAGCGUCCGUAGCUGGCCGCACAAGUCCGUCGGGAAAUCCGCCCGCUCAACGGGCGGCCGUCCGGCGGAACCUGUGUGGCUUGGGACCGGGAGGCCUGAGGGGUACGAUCGGGGUAGGAGUGAAAUCCUGUAAUCCCGCUCGG
rnacentral:rRNA from 1 species